UUUAUGGAGAGUUUGAUCCUGGCUCAGGAUGAACGCUGGCGGCGUGCCUAAUACAUGCAAGUCGAGCGAACGGAUGAGAAGCUUGCUUCUCUGAUGUUAGCGGCGGACGGGUGAGUAACACGUGGAUAACCUACCUAUAAGACUGGGAUAACUUCGGGAAACCGGAGCUAAUACCGGAUAAUAUUUUGAGCCGCAUGGUUCAAAAGUGAAAGACGGUCUUGCUGUCACUUAUAGAUGGAUCCGCGCUGCAUUAGCUAGUUGGUAAGGUAACGGCUUACCAAGGCAACGAUGCAUAGCCGACCUGAGAGGGUGAUCGGCCACACUGGAACUGAGACACGGUCCAGACUCCUACGGGAGGCAGCAGUAGGGAAUCUUCCGCAAUGGGCGAAAGCCUGACGGAGCAACGCCGCGUGAGUGAUGAAGGUCUUCGGAUCGUAAAACUCUGUUAUUAGGGAAGAACAUAUGUGUAAGUAACUGUGCACAUCUUGACGGU
rnacentral:rRNA from 1 species